CUCUGAAUAAGGAGGCUAGCAGAGAAUAGCAUACCCCAGCAAGAAUUCAGACAGCUAGCAGCCUAACCCCCGUUUCUUCUCCUUAUGUAUAGAAUGCUUUCAGGGGAAGCUGUGAGACACUCUGGACUGAGGACUACUCCAGUGCCCUUCUGCUUCAGCCAGUGCUAAGAUGGGCCCCUUAGUAUAAAUGACCUGAUGAAGCUAGAACAGCAAGAUCAGGGUAAAAUGUCAGGGAAGCAUGGCCUAGAGAACCUGUUCCUCUCCCCCUGCCUGUGCUUGCCUCCUGAGAUCUACUGAAUGAGCUGUGCUUUGCACAGCAGAGUCUUCUGCCAUCCAGCUCACUGUCAUUACUGGUAAAUAUAUGACCAUCAACAGCACUUAGCCCAAUAUCCCGGCCUUGUUCAGUUCCCUGUCCCACUUGUUUUCAACUACUUGUUGUGCAUCUUGUUGGCUCCCAAUUUCUGAAAUGAAGAUAAAAACAAAACUGAAAAUACCCUGAAGCAGUUCUGCCAACUCCUGGUUUUUCCAUUCGCUUCCUCUGAUAGCCAUUGGUUUGGGGAGACUUCCCUUUCCUGCUCCAGGCCGUGGGCCUAAUCACAAUAGCCCCUGGCGUGUUGCCCAUCAGAUAAUAAGGCUGGCUCUCUGCAGGCCAUAGUGUGGAUUGGAAAAAGUGAAAGUCUCUGGCUGGAAGUAAAAGCUUAGAAAACCUUUGCUCUUUUCCCUCUCCUGUUUCUUUGCCUUUGUAUGGGCUACUUCCAUCCCACCUGCAAAACCAGAAGAUAGUUCAGAGGAGCUAGUGAAGGAGGGGAUAGGUAUGAGGAGGAUGCUGAAUGUUUGAUCUCAGGGAGGUCUCACCCCAGACACUCUAUAACAGAUGGGGAAAUUCAUCCUGUUUAGGGAUAGUUUGGACCAAUGUCUGAGAUUUCAUCAAUAAGAGUUUUUCUUUCUCUUUAAUCAAUCCCUUUCAGGAGAUGUUUAUUAUUUGUUCUAGGUAAAAUAUAUAAUAUCUUUUCACUCCAGAACACAUUGACCAGGAUUCAGUUGCACAAAAAAAGUAUCCAUUUUAGGCAAAAAAGAUUUAGUGCACAUUCUGCUCAUAGAAUGGACCAUUGGGAGAGUGAAAGAAACAAGCUCUAGGUUCCAAUGCACCACAGAGCUUCUCUUUCUUCUAUAAUUGGAAAGCCACCAGUCCAGAAGCCCUGUGCCUCUUGGUUCUGGUCCAUACCACAUACAUACACAGGGAUCCCUGCACUUCUGUGACUGUGUCCAGAAACAGUAGGAAUGACAGGAAGCCUCUAAAUCUCACACAAGUGUAUUUGUUUGGCUGAACCUAAAAGGAGUUUUAGAAAUAUAACUAGCUAAAUAGCUUUUGAAGAGCAGGAAGAGAUACUAGACAGAAUGGAUCUAGAGUGUAACUCAUACCUGCUAUAUAAGUUGAAGGAAAUAAAUGAGAUUCUGCCGAAUUCCUACUAUGAGGUGGUGUCAUAUAGGUUACAUAUGCCACCACAUUUAUGACUUCCCCUAAUCAUAGAUACUUCUCUCCAUUUUUUCAGAUGAGAAAAUUUAAGAUGAGAGUUUAAAUCAGUCAGCUAAUAGGUUAGCAAAGCCAAGUUCAUGUAAUCCCAAAGCUUAGGGCUUUCUUUGAUACAACUUUCUUACCUUAGGGUUGCCUCUACUACUGACAUAUGUUACCAACAUAUGGACUGAAUUGCCACAGAACUUGGGGACUACCAAAAUGUUAUCUACAGCCAAAAGCAAGAAUCGGGCACAAAUAUUAGCAAUAUUAAAUGUUCUGUGUUUUGGGACAUGACAAACAAAGCUUAAGAAAACCAUCCUUUUUUCAUGGUUGCACUGGAAUUUUGUGAUACAGUGGUGAGGGAAGUGGCCAGGUAUUUUGGUCUUUGACAUCUGGGCCACUUGGGAAGUGCAGGCAUUCUCUUUUACUUGGUCCAUAUUUCCCCUCCCCUCCACUGGGUCUUUGCCUCUGGGUUCUCUAUUUGCCACAUGGCAUUUUGUAUCCCUGACCCCCUCCUCAUGAAUGAUCAUGGACAAAAUAACUUUGAAUCUGAGCUAUAUAAAACAUGGUACUGUGUUUCUCCUGUACUGUCAAGAAAUUCCCAUACUUGUUGGGCUUUGUGGCACAUCCUUUGGUCCCAGUGACUAAGGAGAUUGAGGCAGGAGGGUCACGAGUUUGAGACUAGUCUCAGCAAUUUAGGGAGGCCCUAAACAACUUACUGAGACCCUGUCUCAAAAAGAGUUGGAGAUGUGGCCAGUGGUUAAGUGCCCUGGUUCAAUCCCUGUUACCAAAAAAAUUAUAAAGGAAGCCAUACACAAUGGCACAUGCCUAUAAUCCCAGUGACUCUGAAGGCUGAGGCAGGAGGAUUGCAAGUUCAAGACCAUCCUGCCUCAAAAAAAAAAAAAAAAAAAAAAUUAAAAGGACUAAGGAUAUAGCUCAGUGGUAAAAUGUCCCUGGGUUCUAUCCACAGUUCUGGGAAAUAAAUAAUUUCAAAAAGGGCUGGGAGUGUGGCUUAAUGGUAGAGUGCCUGCCUAACAUGCAUGAGGUCCUGGUUCCAUCCUAAGUCUUGUGAAAAAGAAAAGAAAUCCCCACACAAGCCUCUCCUGUGCCUUCCAGAAGACUAUCACAUUUCCCCAUGGAAGGGAUAUCCAUCCUCAUGGGGGGCAGUUCCAGGAAAAGUUUUGCCUUUUGCUCCUAUAUUAAGCAGCAUGCCUGCCCUUUUUGGAAAUGAAUGUCUCAAAAUUACCUUGGCUGACCUGCAUUGAGAGUCACAAAGCCUGUUUUCUAGCCACAAUCCCGCUGCUAAGUCAUUAUAUGACUUUGGGCCUCAGGUUCUCCUUCCGUGCAGUGUAGGUGAUAGUCAUACACCUCUGCUGCAGGGGUGUUGUAAGAGUUAAAUGAGAGAUAACAGAGUGUUGAGAGAGAAGAGAAUUGCCUAGCCUGAUUUCAUUGCUCUGUUGGUUUCCAUUUCAACAUCCCUAAAUUUAUACUCAGAGCUGGUUGAGUUUCUGCUUGGGCUUAAGAAAUCAUGAACAGAUACACUUCAUUGGGCUGUUUGAGAUCAUGUGAUAGGAAUGGUUCAGGUACUGCUUUACCUCGGAACUGGUGGCCUCUAACCUGUGAUGACAUGUUGAGUUCCUAUUUUUGGAGAAAUGUUUCUGGCAGCUGCCGUGGAGUCAGGUGAGGAAGUCAGAUUAUUGAGGGCCUUAUGUUAGCCUUCCUGCCCAAUAUACAUCCUUGGAUUGAUGCCUCCAAGAAAGAGUUGGAAGUUUUGUUUGUUUGUUGUGUUUUUGGUAAAGGGGAUUGAACCCAAGGGUGCUUAAUCACUGAGCCACAUCCUCUGCCCUUUUUAUCUUUUAUUUUGAGUCAGGAUCUCUCUAAGUUGCUGAGGCUGUCCUUGAACUUGCAAUUCUCCUGACUCAGCCUUCUGAGUCGCUGGGAUUACAGGUGUGCACCAUCACGCCCAGGCUCAAUUGGAAUUAUUAUUUUUUCUUUAUUUUUUUAGUUGUAG
rnacentral:lncRNA from 1 species